AGUCAGACUCAGGGACCUACUGGUGUGGAGUGGAGAGAUAUGGCCCAGACACAUUCCAAGAGGUGCAUCUCACAGUUAUAGAUGGCAUCUGGAGACAUCAGUGUUGGUCCUUCACAGAGAACAGUUACCCCAGUGGUCAUCAUGGUGUGUGUGAGUCUGACUGUGUUGG